rnacentral:rRNA from 1 species
AGUGAACGCUGGCGGUAGGCUUAACACAUGCAAGUCGAACGGAAGCACAGUAAGAGUUUGCUCUUACGGGUGGCGAGUGGCGGAAGGGUGAGGUAUACAUCGGACUCUUGUCUUUCGUGGGGGAUCACGUAGGGAAAGCUACGAUAAUAUAGCAUACGAUCUACGGGUGAAAGCAGGGGAACUUCGGACCUUGCGGGUUUGAAUGAGCCGAUGCUGGAGUAGUUAGUUGGGGGGGUACUGGCCCACCCAGGCGAGGAUACGCAGCCGGUCUGAGAGGAUGGUCGGCCACACUGGAACUGGAACACGGUCCAUACUCCUACGGUAGGCAGCAGUAGGGAAUAUUGGACAGUGGGCGCAAGCCUGAUCCAACCAUACCGCGUGUGUGAAGAAGGCCUUCGGGUUGUAAAGCCCUUUUGUUGGGAAAGAAAAGCAGCAGGUUAAUACCCCGCUGUUCUGACGGUACCCAAAGAAUAAGCACCGGCUAACUUCGUG